rnacentral:lncRNA from 1 species
AGGGAUUUCUAGGUGGAGAUAUGACUGCUUUGUUUUUGUGGAAUGAUCAUGAUGGGCCUGGCUGACUUCAAGAUGAAGGUUGGCUUCAGGACAUUUGUUGACUACUGUAGACAGCAUGGAAAAGUUCAACAUCAUAGAAUCUAAAGACCUGUGUGGACCUGGCCAAGCUGACCAAGUCCAGAGAAAAUGUCCCUUGAAGUAGGUAUAUUUUGAUGGCCACACCAUUGAAACAUAAGUUACUCUGAUGACAGAAAGAAGAUACCACUCAUCUUUAUGAUUUCAUCUUGCCUAUGCUAUGGACUGAAUGGUUCAUUUGAUAAUAAGAUGAAGAAUAGAGCUUUGUCAACUAUAAAGCACCAUGAAAAAUUGAGAAUUAAUAUUUCUACCUUAUGCAUAUAUUCAAGAUGAUCCCUUACUUGGAGAUAAUGGCUCAGAGAGAUUAUUUAAAGAGAAAACCGGAAAUAUUUUGACAUUUUUUAUGUGUUGGGGAUGACAGGAAGCCAAAGAUGUUACAUUUUCAAGGUUAGUGAAUGUGAUUGUGAUGUAGUGAUGGUGUCAUACAUUGAAAAAAGGAUCAUAGGAAAAGAUGUUUUAUUUUGAAAUUGAGAUACAAUUCAUGUAACAAAAUUCAUCCUUUUAAACUACAAAAUUCAGUGGUUUUUGAUAUAUUCACAGAGUUGUGUAACCAUCACCCUAUCUACUUUAGAAUGUUUUCAUUACCCCAAAAGAAACUUCAUACCCAUUAGAGAUUAUUUCCCAUCUCCUUCUAUCCCAUUCCCUGGCAACCAUUAAUCUAUUUCUGUCUUGAUGGAUUUGAAUAUUCUGGAAAUUUCAUAUAAAUGGACCUUAUAAUUUCUGUCUGCUUCUUUCAUUUAGCAUCACCUUUUCAAAGUUCAUCUAUAUUAUACCAUGUGUCAGUAUUUCAUUCACUUUUAUGGCUGAGUAAUA